rnacentral:misc_RNA from 1 species
GUAGGUGAACCUGCGGAAGGAUCAUUAACACGUAUCCACGUAUUAACUAAACGGUAACUGUAUCUCCCUAGUAAUUGUUUAGCUGUUUGACCGAAUCAUGGUGGGUAUACACUCGUGUAUACGAAUUGGUUGAACUUGGGCCUCGAGCUCAAAGCUUUACUCUUUAUUAGGCUUUCUUUUCCAUCUAACCUUUCUACCCUAGGGGAAGAUGGAAUCUAUAAAAACCUAUUUCACCCUAACUAUCAACAUUUGACUAAUACUAUUCACUUGGAGAAAUCCAAGCCUGAAUUGAGUUAUCUUAACUAAGCACAACUCUUAGCAAUGGAUAUCUUGGUUCUC